ensembl:miRNA microRNA 15a
UCUGGUGAUGUUGUAGCAGCACAGAAUGGUUUGUGGGUUACUCUGAGAUGCAGGCCAUGCCGUGCUGCCGCAAUAAAGCCUGAAUAACACAAC